rnacentral:lncRNA from 1 species
CUUUUUAGGGCCAUGUCCGAAACAUAUGGAGGUUUCCAGGCUAGGGGUAGAAUCAGAGCUGUAGCUGCCCGCCUACACCACAGCCACAGCACCUUGGGAUCUGAACCUCAUCUGUGAUCUACACCACAGCUCACAGCAGUGCCAGAUCCUUAUCCCACUGAGCAAGGCCAGGUGUCGAACCUGCAUCCUCAUGGAUACUAGUCAGGUUCAUUAACCACUGAGCCACGACAGGAACUCCAUCAUUUGUAAUACAUCUAUCAUAGCCUUUCUUCCUUUCCUUCUCCUAAACAGUUUGUUGAUGCUACAGCAACAGUUCUCAAGUUUUUGUGAUUAGAGCACCAUCCAAAUAUGUUCAUAAUUUGAAUACUUUUUACCACCUUCAUGAAUAUCCUAGUCCAAGCCACAUAUGAAUUAUGACACCAGUUUUCUAAGUACUCCCUUAGCUUAUACCUUUUCCAAAGCAGCCACUCUGAUCCUUUUAAACAGUAAUUCAUGUUAUCCUUGCCGAAAAUGUAUAACUGCAAUCUAACCAAGAGAAAAAUAAUCAUCCAAGUCCAAAUUGAGACCCCCUACAAAGUAACAGAUUAGUACUCAUGAAAAGUCAAUGAUUUCAGGGAACACAAGAAAAGACUGCAGAACUGUCAUGGACAGGAGGAAACUAAGGAGAACAACGAAACGCAAUGUGAUAUUUUGGGUUGUAUGCCGAAACAGAAAAACAGGGUGGGAUUUCAAAAUAUAGUGUUUUAAAGUACCUCAAAAGAAAGAAAAACAUAAGUCAAGUGAGUGUCUUUUCUACUUGAAACCCUCACCUGGCUUUCUUUCCAUCUUAAUUAGAUCACAGUUUCCAAACAGACCUAUUUCCUCUUAAAAAGUAAAAUUUUCCUGGAACACAAUCCCAUCCUUUCAUUUACAUAUUGUUUCUGGCUGUUUGGGGGCUACAACAGCAGAGUUGAACAGCUACAACAGAGACUGCAUGGCCUGCAAAGGGUAAAAUAUGUGUCAUGUGGCCCUUUACAAAAAACCCAAAAACAAAAGCCUUUGCCAGUCCCCUGACUGAGGGCAAAGGCAAAGUUCUCACAAUGGCCUUCGGUGCCGAAGUGAUUGGGCCCAACCCACUCCUUCUCUGCAAGUCUCCUACUGCUGUGGCCCUCACCUUUUCUGCUUCAGCCACUCUGGCCUCUACUCGCUGUUUCACAAAAUGUGCCAAGCCAUGCUGUCGCCAUAGGGCCUUUGCACACACUGUGACUCUGCUUAGACUGUCCAACUCUUGCAUCCUGCAGGGCUUUGUCCAAGUAUCUAAUAAACCACCCCUUGGCAAUACUGUUCUCCCUUUCUUUCUUUCUUUCUUUUUUUUUUUUUUUAGGGCCAAACCCAUGGCAUAUGGAGGUUCCCAUGCUAGGGGUCUAAUUGGCGCUGUAGCUGCUGGCCUACACCACAGCCACAACCAAAAAAAAAAAAAUUUACUCUUUCCUUAUAUCUUUUGAGGAGAUUAAAAGAAGCAAAUACAAUAAAGAAAGGUAAUAUUUCUUAUUCACAUGAUACUUUGACUGUUUUUUUGGCCACAUCCACAGCAUGCAUAAGUUCUGGGGCCAGGGAUCGAACCCACACCACAGCAGUGACAACGGUGGAUCCUUAACCUGCUAAGCCACCAGGUAGCACCUUAACUUUUAAAAUAAUAAUGUGGUUGCAUCUUGGAAGUGCGGAGAAGGGGUAGAGAGAAUAAAGAGACGAUGAAACCCCAACAGAGUCUAAACCUUUCUCAGGUUUUGAAACUCCCAAAGAUGGAGUUCCUGCCAUGGUGCAGUGGAUUAAAAAUCUGUGGGUUUGGGAUGGAAAUGUUCUAAAAUUAGGUUGUGCUGAUGGUUGUACAACUAUAAAGAUAAUACAAUUCACUGAAUUAAGAAAAGAACAUGGACAACAGACUUGGGGUUGCCAAGGGGGAGGGGGAGGGAGUGGGAUGGACUAGGAAUUUGGGGUUAAUAGAUGCAAACUAUUGCCUUUGGAAUUGAUAAGCAAUGGGAUCCUGCUGUAUAGCACAGAGAACUAUAUCUAGUCACUUAUGAUGAAGGAUAAUGUGAGAAAAAAAGAAUGUAUACAAGUAUGUGUGACAGGGUCACCUUGUUGUACAGUAGAAAAUUGACAAAACACUGUAAACCAGCUAUAAUGGAAAAAAUAAAAAUCAUUAUUAAAAAAAAAAA